rnacentral:rRNA from 1 species
UACGGAGGGUGCAAGCGUUAAUCGGAAUUACUGGGCGUAAAGCGCGCGCAGGUGGUUUCUUAAGUCUGAUGUGAAAGCCCACGGCUCAACCGUGGAGGGUCAUUGGAAACUGGGAGACUUGAGUGCAGAAGAGGAAAGUGGAAUUCCAUGUGUAGCGGUGAAAUGCGUAGAGAUAUGGAGGAACACCAGUGGCGAAGGCGACUUUCUGGUCUGUAACUGACACUGAGGCGCGAAAGCGUGGGGAGCAAACAGG